UACGUAGGGUGCGAGCGUUAAUCGGAAUUACUGGGCGUAAAGCGUGCGCAGGCGGUUUUGUAAGACAGGCGUGAAAUCCCCGGGCUCAACCUGGGAACUGCGCUUGUGACUGCAAGGCUAGAGUACGGCAGAGGGGGGUGGAAUUCCACGUGUAGCAGUGAAAUGCGUAGAGAUGUGGAGGAACACCAAUGGCGAAGGCAGCCCCUGGGUCGAUACUGACGCUCAUGCACGAAAGCGUGGGUAGC
rnacentral:rRNA from 1 species